UGGGGAAUUUUGCACAAUGGGGGAAACCCUGAUGCAGCGACGCCGCGUGAUUUAGAAGGCCUUCGGGUUGUAAAAAUCUUUUCUAUGGGAAGAAAAUGACAGUACCAUAGGAAUAAGGACCGGCUAAUUACGUGCCAGCAGCCGCGGUAAUACGUAAGGUCCGAGCGUUGUCCGGAAUCAUUGGGCGUAAAGGGUACGUAGGCGGGUAAGCAAGUUAGAAGUGAAAUCCUAUAGCUCAACUAUAGUAAGCUUUUAAAACUGCUCAUCUUGAGGUAUGGAAGGGAAAGUUGAAUUCCUAGUGUAGCGGUGAAAUGCGCAGAUAUUAGGAGGAAUACCGGUGGCGAAGGCGACUUUCUGGCCAUAACCUGACGCUGAGGUACGAAAGCGUGGGUAGCAAACAGG
rnacentral:rRNA from 1 species